rnacentral:lncRNA from 1 species
GAAAAGGGGAAGAGGAACAGGAGGAAAAAGGGGGAGGGGAGGAAGUGGAGGAGGGGAAGAAGGACGUAAUAGAGGAAGAGAUAUAGUUUUAUUGUCACAUAGAAAUGACAGUAGGAAUCAAUUUUUUCACUGUUGGUCUUUAGGAAAUCAUCUGACUUUCUCUGAGUUAGAGUAUGAUCGAUUAUUAGAAAAUGGUAAAAUGUGUUAAAAACUCUCUUUGUACGGUUUUGUGAGAAAUGUGUAAUGCUUAAAGACUAACCAAGAGCCUCUUGGCUAAACCAGGUUGAUGUCAACAAUAGCUAGUACUUAUUUGAGUCACCUUGAUUUUCCCUCCUCUUGAGAACUUUCUCUAACCAGUUUAGGCUGCAGUCAUGCCUCCUUUCCUUUCUCUGAACUCUCACAAUUAUUGCCUAGAUCUCGUUUGGUAAUUAAUCAUGUGCUACUUACUGCCUGUGUCAUCUCUUGUAUUGUUUUCUUAAAAUAUUUACACUUUUUUUUCGGUUGUCACUUAUCUUUCCAGCUGUCAUUUUCUUCAACUAUUUACGUCUCUGUUACUCAUCUUUCCAGCCAUCCUGGCAUCCCAUUAAGGUGAAAGCUCUCUGAGGCAGGAACCUUUUCUCAGAUUUCUUCGAGUCUUCCACAGCACCCCACAUUUGACACACAUCUGCUACUUCGCAAAUGUGUGCUGCCUUGGCUAAAUUUUUAGAAGCUGAACUUUUAGGAAAGCUACUAUUUUUGAACUCAGAAAAAUACCUACCAUCCACUAAACAGCUGUACCGAAGUUUGGGUGACAGGGAACCUAAGUUCACUUGUUGCAUCUGGCAGCCUCAAACCAUGAACCCUCACUGCAAAGCGAGGAUGAACGCGCUGCUGCACCUUGGAGAGCUCUUUCGGACAGGUACGGAGGGGAGGGCGUAGAAGAGGGCUGGCACCAGCAGCGCGGUCCAGUCCUCCGAACGGACUGAUGGGACUGAUGGGAGAGACCUCUUGCACCUCUCGGGGAUGUGCGCCUCGGAGGAUGCGAAUUAGCUUGCGCACAGGGCGCCUUGGGGAUAGCGCUGUCCAAGUACAGGCUUGGGUGAUGGCUGGUGGGGUCCGGGUCGACAUUUUCCCUUCCCGCUCCCGGACUUCUGCACACACGCGCUGCUCGGCG